AUACGUAGGGGGCGAGCGUUGUCCGGAAUUACUGGGCGUAAAGGGCGUGUAGGCGGCCUGUUAAGUCAGGCGUGAAAACCCCGGGCUUAACCUGGGGACUGCGUUUGAAACUGGCGGGCUUGAGGGCAGGAGAGGAAAGUGGAAUUCCCGGUGUAGCGGUGAUAUGCGUAGAUACCGGGAGGAACACCAGUGGCGAAGGCGGCUUUCUGGACUGCACCUGACGCUGAGGCGCGAAAGCCAGGGGAGCGAACGGGAUUAGAUACCCUGGUAGUCCACGCCGUAAACGAUGGAUACUAGGUGUAGGAGGUAUCGACCCCUUCUGUGCCGGAGUUAACACAAUAAGUAUCCCACCUGGGGAGUACGGCCGCAAGGUUGAA
rnacentral:rRNA from 1 species